AGUUACCAGCACGUAUGGUGGGCGACUCUAAGGAGACUGCCGGUGACAACCGGAGGAAGGUGGGGAUGACGUCAAGUCAUCAUGGCCCUUACGGCCUGGGCUACACACGUGCUACAAUGGUCGGUACAAAGGGUUGCCAAGCCGCGAGGUGGAGCUAAUCCCAUAAAACCGAUCGUAGUCCGGAUCGCAGUCUGCAACUCGACUGCGUGAAGUCGGAAUCGCUAGUAAUCGUGAAUCAGAAUGUCACGGUGAAUACGUUCCCGGGCCUU
rnacentral:rRNA from 1 species